CGGUAUAUAAUUCGUAAAUUUUAGUUAUCGUUUGGUGUUCGCUCCCCGGGUACCCAUUUAGGGAUUACCCGAAUAAAAUAUUAAUAUUUGUGGUUUUGGUACUGUGGAUGUUUUAGGUGCACGUGCAAGUAGCGGAGUCAAUCCUACGGAGGAUCUUGAUUGAGAUACGUGCACAAGUGUGCACACGGUUGUGAUUAGCGCGCAGGUGGGUGUGAUUAGCGCGCAGGUGAUGUGAUUAGCGCGCAGGUGGGUGUGAGUAGCGCGCGGUUGAUAUUAUGAGGGUGUCCUGUGGAUGCCAUCGGAGAGGGCGGCCACCCCCCUUUGGCCGGGACACCAGGUUAGCAGCGGCGCUGUGGGACGCCACGCGACCGUAUGCCGGUUUCUUUCUAUAACCUCCUGUCUGGCGGUACCUUGGGACGCUGGGUACUGUUGGCGCCACUGGUAUAUAGUGGGUGCAUCAACUGAUUUUCAGAACUGUGUUUUAAAAAUAAAAUGUUUGGAAACCGUAUUGGAAUUAAAAAUAUAAUUAUUACUGUUCUGGUAUUUAUUUGAUGUCUUGGUUUUCGGGGAAUAUGAAUAAAGGGUUUUGUGACAAUGUUUUAAAAGGGGAACUUUUCCAACUGAGAGAAUUGUAAGGGUUUGAGAGAAAUUAUUAUUUCCAAAUAAUUAUUAUUUAUUAUUACCGUGGUAUUAUAUUGUAUAGUAGUAGGGUCGCUCACUGAGAUGAUUAGCAUCUCACACUCUUAAAUUCCGUUCCUCUAGGUACCAGGUUGUCGGCGUUCACUCGGAGCGGACUUGAUCUUCCUCGCUGUUUUAGUUCGGCAGUACCCUGUUAUUCUUUUAUUGCAGUUGUAAUAUUUCUUUCACUCUUGUUGUAUUUAUUUUGCACUGGAUUACUGUAUUUAUUUUUUUUAAGUACUGCAAUUUGUGG